GACGAACGCUGGCGGCGUGCUUAACACAUGCAAGUCGAACGGAAAGGCCCUGCUUUUGUGGGGUGCUCGAGUGGCGAACGGGUGAGUAACACGUGAGUAACCUGCCCUUGACUUUGGGAUAACUUCAGGAAACUGGGGCUAAUACCGGAUAGGAGCUCCUGCUGCAUGGUGGGGGUUGGAAAGUUUCGGCGGUUGGGGAUGGACUCGCGGCUUAUCAGCUUGUUGGUGGGGUAGUGGCUUACCAAGGCUUUGACGGGUAGCCGGCCUGAGAGGGUGACCGGCCAAAUUGGGAACGAGGUACGGCCCCGGAUCCUACGGGGAGCAGGAGGGGGGAAUAAUUGAACAAGGGCGGAAGGCUGAAGGAGCAACGCCGCGGGCGGGAAGAAGGCCUUCGGGUUUGAAACCGCUUUCGCCUGGGACGGAACGUGGGGGGCGGGAAUUGGUAAAGAAGGAACGGCUAACUAAGUG
rnacentral:rRNA from 1 species